AAUAGGCUACUGACACGACGACUGUCCUUGUGCAGUCACCAUUGCUCAUAAGUUUUAAUUUCAGCCAUUAGAUUUAAAAGCAUCUCAACCGUUGGUUUGUAAAAGUUGAAACAUAAUGAUAACCCUAUAAGGUUAGAUCUAGAAGCCUGCAGCAGGGCGUGUCAGAUGUGCUAAUUCAGGACCACCACCACACGAAGAGCCCUCCGCAUACGAGAUACAACAUCCUCUGACCUACUCUCUCAAAGACGAUUUUUAUGAUGCGAUCGCGAGUGCGAGGCAUCUGCAGUGCGAAUCUACUAUAAGAUCUUAUUUUAUUUGUAAAAUUAUGCAGAAAACUGUAAGUUCAAAUCCUUUGGAGAAAACCACCUCGGUAUGUUGUGCUCAAAACCAUCUCUUCAGUCGGAAUGGGAUCAGUCGGCUGCCAGAUGAAAUUACUGUUUCAGUUCUGUCUUUUCUGGGAAUUAGAGAAGCGGGACGCACUUGUGUACUCUCAAAAAGAUGGGAACAGUUGUGGUCAUAUCACAGGGUUCUAAAUUUUGAUGCUUCACAAACAAUUUUUGAUCUUGAAUCGAAUCCAAAUCCAAAGUUACUGAAAGUAGAAAGAUGUAGGUACAUAAAUUGGGUGAACAAAGUCACGGAGUCGCAUUGUGGUUCAACCAUAGAUGAGUUUAGAGUUUCUUUUUGUUUGAAUAGAUCUUCUAGUUGUGUGAUUGAUAGAUGGAUUGAGUUCGCGAUAGCAAAGAGAGUUCAAAGGCUUGAGCUGGACUUGGAACCAAGUUAUUAUAUCGAUAGGGGUAGAGCAUAUACUUUUCCAAACCCGAUUUAUAUUCACAUCAAAAGUCCUGCCGGUUUAUCCAGCAUUAGGUCCCUAAGAUCACUCUGUUUUAAGCGUGUGAACAUCAGUGGAGAGAUUCUUGAAUACUUCCUUUCCAAUUGUCCUCUUCUCGAAUCUUUACAAGUAGACCAGUCGAGACAUUUAGUGAAUUUAAAAGUUUUUGGUUCCUCACUUCGGCUGAAGGUUUUGGAGAUAACCUUCUGCCCUAAACUGAUGGAUGUUGAGGUUUCUGCUACCAGUCUUGUGUCAUUUAAAUAUGUUGGACUGGGCCAAGCAAUAAAUAUGCAAAUUAAGGAUGCAUUCCAGCUUGCUCACUUGUCUUGUUCGGAUUUCGUUGUGCCAAUAGAACGUGUUUUUUUCCAGUUUUCAAGCUACUUUUCGCAGCUCGAGACUCUUUUGCUGACCAUUAAUUUUCGUCAUUUCCCAAAGGCUAAUGCAGCAUUCGAACAGCUUCCUGAAUUUAGCAAGCUCAAGCACUUGACAUUGCAACUUGUAGCAGAUAAUUUUUCAAAACUUCUCGUUUGGACUACCUUGAUAAAUGCAUCACCUUUGCUGCAUAAAUUUGAAUUGCAGGAUAGAAUGCUAGGCAAUUAAGAAACAACAUAUAUAUAAUAUGAAUGGGGCAGUCAUCCGAAUGUCAUGAUCGAUGUGCGGAAAAGAAAAGACAGAAUUAGGACUGAACAGAUUCAUGGGACGGUUAAAGUGUUAAACUAACACCAAUUGAAGACAAAAUGAGAGAUAAUGUACUAAAUGGGUUUGGACGUGUGCAAAGAACAAGACCACUAAGUGAGUGAGUUAGGAAGAAUGACAUGAUUCACAUUGACGGUAACGUGGGGGAAGAUCAAAGGUAACAUGUAUAGAAUUACUAACGAAAUAUUUGAUAACAUGUAGCUUGAAUGAGAGUCUGAGAUUAUGACUUUGAAUAAAGUGGAAUUGAAAAUUUGGGAUGAGCCGACUCCAAGUAGUUGGGAAAAAGACUUUGUUGAGUUAAUUUGAGUGUAGUGCAUCUAUUAUAUAUGACUAUAUUUAACAUUGAUUUAUGUACUAAUAAUUGCGUAUGUGGAAGAUGAAGGUUUAUAAAUAUAUCCUUAACAUUUACAUAUAUGCAAUGUUUUUGCUAAUUACCUAUUAUAUAUUUUUAGUUACAAUUAUAUUCUUGUCCAAUACUAAAAAGUGUCAAUUGCAUCUUUUUAUAUAUGUUGAUCCUGUUUCAAAAUUUGUUAGGGAUGACUUUUUUUUUACAUAUAUGCAAUGUGUUAAACAAGACUUGUUUUAGUCUAAAAUAAUGAAAUUUAAUUUUGAGUUACGGACACAUAAAUGAAAGAGAUACUUCCUUUUAGUGUCCCCUACGACAAUAUUGUUUCUCAAUGAGUUGGCACGGCUGUCCAUGUAGGUAAUUACACUAUGUGAAGUGUUUGGUACAUUUUUAAAAUCAAUUUAGCCUUGCUCGGAUUCUGGAAUCAACGUCCUCUUUUGAUUACAACUUGAUUUAGCAAAUAUGUAGGGUAUUAUACUUGUUUUUCAAAUACUGAUUUAAGUUUCUUUGCUAAUGGCUAGAUGCUGAUAAAUUAUUAAUGAUAGUUCUAGUACGAUAGUAAAACUUUAGCCACAGAAGUUCCAUUUCUAAUAUCUCCUCUCUCAUUUUUUGGUGCGGGGUUGAAGAAAGACUUCAUAGAGUUGUCUACUACUAUUUUUAGUGUGAGGAGCACAAUUUUUUUGUACAUGGAAACUUUAACAUACUGCUUUAAUGUAAAUCUGCUAUAACUAAAUUUAAUUAUUGUAAGUUGUUAAUCUUUAAUGAAGUGCUUGUUUGGAUGUCAUAACUGUUCCAUGAAUACUUCGUGAUCUGCCCCUGUUUUCGUCGCUGAGUAUCACUAUGCGUUGGGACAGCUUUUGAUUUGGCUGAUAGAUUAUUUGGGACCUCGUGAGAAGCAAUAUGAAAGAAAAAUGCUUGAAGGUGGCAACUGCCCCCAUCAAAGCCUAAAGGAGGUGGAAUUGGCUGGGUUUUGUGGCCGAGUUAUUGACCUCGAGUUUGCCCACUACUUGAUUAAGAAUGCCGUCACAGUGGAGAAGAUUAUAAUUAAUCGUCAUUGUACAAUUCGUGCUAGCAGACCAAGACCGUGGCUGUUUGAGGAAACCAAGGAGAAACAAUAUGCAAAAAAGUGUGCUAUGGAACUCCAAAAAAGUCUGCCCUCGAGAAUAAAAAUGGAAAUUAUUUAAUCUUGCUCAACUGCAUUUCGUUGCUGCUUGAUGUUUAGUUUGUUCGUAGUUCUAAGAUAAUAAGUUGAUUAUUAGCAAUUUGUUUGUACUUCUAGGAGAGUUUCAUGACUGUAUCUUGUUCGCGCCUUUUUCUAGCUGGGGAAGGAUAGGUAGAUUUCUCAGAGUUUGAGUUCGUUUAUUUCGGCGGAGCUUGGUUCUGUUCCCCGAGAAUUAGCUGCUGUUUGAUAAAAUUUGAGGGACGGAGGGUGAGUGUGGGGUUACUUGCUGAUGUAAUAAAUAAAUAAAAAUUCUCUUAAUGUUUUAUAA